rnacentral:rRNA from 1 species
UACGUAUGGAGCAAGCGUUAUCCGGAUUUACUGGGUGUAAAGGGAGCGCAGCGGCUUUGCAAGUCAGAUGUGAAAACCACGGGCUCAACCUGUGGCCUGCAUUUGAAACUGUGUUUCUUGAGUACUGGAGAGGCAGACGGAAUUCCUAGUGUAGCGGUGAAUGCGUAGAUAUUAGGAGGAACACCAGUGGCGAAGGCGGUCUGCUGGACAACAACUGACGCUGAGGCGCGAAAGCGUGGGGAGCAAACAGG